rnacentral:rRNA from 2 species
AAAGAAAAUGAUUUGGUCGACCUCUAAAAAGAGCGUCCCUGCAUUUCAUUAAUAAUUUCUUCCGUAAGGGUACCUGCGGAAGGAUCAUUAAUGAAAUGCAAGGACGCUCUUUUUAGAGGUCCGACCCAAAUCAUUUUCCUUUACACUGUGCACAUACUACUUUUUUACACCAAUUUUUAACACAUCAGUUUUAAGAAUGUAAAUCAAGUCUCGAAAGAGCAAUAAAUAAAACAAAACUUUCAGCAACGGAUCUCUUGGCUCUCGCAUCGAUGAAGAACGCAGCGAAAUGCGAUACGUAAUGUGAAUUGCAGAAUUCAGUGAAUCAUCGAAUCUUUGAACGCACCUUGCACUCUUUGGUAUUCCGAAGAGUAUGUCUGUUUGAGUGUCAUGAAACUCUCAACCCCCUCAUUUUGUAAUGAAGUGUAGCGUGGGCUUGGAUUAUGGCUGUCUGUCGGCUUAACCGCCGACUCAGCUGAAAUAUACGAGCAACCCAGUUUAAAACCCUGACGGCUUGACUCGGCGUAAUAAUUAUUUCGCUGAGGACGUCUAACCUUUAAAUCGUUAGUGGUGCUUCUAAUGCAUUAUUCAUUUUAAGCUUUAGACCUCAAAUCAGGCAGGACUACCCGCUGAACUUAAGCAUAUCAAUAGCCGGAGGAAAAAAUCAUUAAUGAAAUGCAAGGACGCUCUUUUUAGAGGUCCGACCCAAAUCAUUUUCUU